rnacentral:rRNA from 1 species
AUGUCGAGGAGGUCCUUCUCCGUGAUGGUCGACUGGAUCCAGUCGCCUUGGACCCAGCCUUUCGGCAGGCGGGAUCUGGACGAGGAUCCUCUGCGGCUGGUGGAUCUCCCCUUCGCCUUCUCCGAUGCCGACGCCUUCUUGGCACGCUCCAGCGCCGCCGUCUUCUCCUUGGCCAUGGUCGCCGGUGAGAUGCACGAAGGGAAGCGGUGCGGAGGCGAGAGCGGGCACGCUGAGCAGGGAGGAAGGGAGCAGAGGGAGAGAGGGAGAAUGCUGAGGCGCAGCACAGAAAUCCUCGCCGGGCACAUUUAUAAGGUCCCUUCCGAGUGA